GAAGUAGGGAAAGAAUCCCAUGAGUGUCGCCCGGGCAUACAAAAACCUGUAGUCUGAGGAGCUCUAGUGCGUGUAGGGAUUCUCAAAAGUGUUUUCUGUCGUUAAGAGAGACACCUGCUAGUGACAAGAGGGGUCUGCAGAAGAUUGGACAUGAUGAGAUCUGUUGGCCUUUUGAAAGCAUGGACCCUGUGGCUUUCACUUACCACUGGUCUACAGUGCCUGGAAUGGUCCCACUGCCCAAACCCAACUAGAAGCCAGAGACUAAAAGAGCCUAUUGUGUAGUCCCUGGAGGUCAACAUCCCAUAACAGAGAAUAAGGUGGAGAUGGAUUGAAAAUGGACCUGGAGAGGGGAUCCUUAAAGCCAAGUGCCCAAGAACAUCAGAUCAAGAACUCCUGGAUGAAAACCUGACUUACAGAAAUAUCGCAGUAGAGAAUAAAUGGCAGGGAUGCCUAGACACCAUGGACAUGUGACGUGACCGAGGACCACUUGAUGGCAGCAGAGACCCAACUAAACUGUCCACUAGCUUAUGUACCUUACUAGUAAGGUUUAAAGGCCUCAUUAAGGCCCAGAUUUAAAGGUUCAGUUAAACAAGACCACUCUGAUUAUCUCACUGCCUGCUGCAUCUACCUAGAGACAGAGAAUGAGCAAGGACCCUAGGAAGCUGGCUAUUACAGCGUCUAGUAGACAUGCCUCUGAAAAGACAUUUGGGUUGUUUCCACCUUGCGGGAAUUGUGAAGAAUUGGUGUGCAAAUAUCUGUUUGAGUUCCGUCUUCAGUUUAUUUUGGAUAGUCACAAGGUUUCUAUUGGACUAGUUGUGGGCCCACAUAAAUGUACACUGCUGAUGUGCUGAAUCCUACCUAUUUCAUCUCAGACUUCGGUCCUUGGCCCUCAUUAUGGAAUCCUCCCUUGCUCUGCUUGCAGGAAUGAAAUAUCAUAUGAACUAAUAUGACCACCUUCCUCCCUUUUGAAGGACAAGAUCCCUAAAUAGUCAACAACAAGAAGGACCUACAAGAUAACAGGACAUGCUGACUGUGCUGGUUUAUCCUGACCAUUUCUUUGUUUGGAGUUAUAAAAGCCAAAACCAGCCUUCUCACUCAGAACGGGUCUUGGAAAGUUUCUUUGCCUCCUGUUCUUUGUUGAUGCAUCUUCAAUAAACCUUCUUACAAAAGCA